AUAAUUCAUUAUUAUUGUUAUACAAAGGAACUAAAUUUUGUUGAAUUUGUAAUAAAAGAAUUAAAAAUUUUAAAAAUUUUAUGUUAAAAACCGUCCGCCAUUGUUUGUGGCGUCCUGACGCUAGAUUUGACUUGAAAAUGCCGUUCCCUGAAGAAAAUAACAAUAGACUUGUUUCGUAUAGUUUGAUCUAUGGAGUGAUCAGUGAUAAUGUUGAGAAAUCAAGGUAUAUAAUAAUAAAGUUUAAAGGUUAUAAUAUGAGAGGCAGUUUUUGUAAAUGGAAAAAGAGAAAACAAGAACUUGAAAGUGUCGUCUAAACAAAAUUAAUAGGAAAUGAGAACCCAAAAAAUCAUGAUUUCUAGCUUAUUGACCAACAUUCCAAUUGAAAGUGUAUCUACAGUUGACGAUCUCAAUAGCAAUAAGGUUGGUGUUGAACAGGAAGAAUGUCUAGCAGCUAACACCUCACACUUAACAGGGAAAAGGCUGGAUUUGUCUGAUAGAACAAUGAAAACCAAACUUAAAAGGAGUUAGAAAAAUUGAAGAAGAAGAAAUUAAAAAAGAAAAAUAACAAGAAGUGGUCCUGAAUUGCCCAACUUGCACAAGCCACCGAGGCAGCAUCAGUGUCAUCAACCUCUGAUCCCACAGAGUUUGUCAAAACAGCGAAGGCUGCCUAGUAUUCAGCAAAUUUGAUUUAGGAGAACUAUCUAAUCCCUCACCCAUUCUGAACAAGAACACUUUAGAUUGAAAAGUAGCAACGAUAAAAAAAAACUCAAAGCCAAAGUGAAAAUCUUGGAUGGCCAAGCUGAAGUUGGAAUGUGAGAAGUAUUGAAGAGAAACAGGCAUGAAAAGAUGCUUUGCAAACAGCUGAAGGUUUUCAGGUAAAAAACAAUGUGGAAUGGCUUGCUAAAUCUAUUAUGAAACAAGAUGAAAUCAAAUCAGAUAGUAAAAAGAAGUUGGCUGAACGCAUCGAAGAAUAGGAAAAGAGAAAGGAAUAACAACAGAAAACGAGAAAAGCCAACAUUAAGAAAAAGAAAACUGAGAAGAAAGAACAUAAACUGAAUGAACGCCUCACACUUAACAGAGGAAAAGCUGGAAUUGUCUGAUAAGGCAACGAAAAUCCAAUUUAAACGGAAGUUAGAGGGAAUGAAGAAGAAAUUAAAAAGAAAAAGUAAGAAGAAGAGGUCCUGAAUUGCCAAACAUGCUCGAGCCACCAAGGCAGUAUCUGUGUCAUCAACCUCUGGUCUUUCAGAGUUUGUUAAAACAGAAAUUCCUCAACCAAGACUAGCAAGUACACUGGCAACACCAAUUUUUAACAGUGAAGGCUGCCUAGUUUCCAGCAAAUUUGAUUUUGGAGAACUAUCUAAUUCCUCACCCAUUCUGAAAAAGACCACUUUAUAUCCAGAAGUGGCAACGAUUAAAAUGAAAGAAAAUAAAACUUAAACCAAAAAUGAAUAUCUUGGUAGGCCAAGCUGAAGCUGAGAAUGCAAGAAGCAUUGAAUAGAAACAGGCAUGAAAUGGUGCUCUGCAAAUAGCUGAAGGUUUUCAGGUAAAAGACUAUGUGGAAUUGCUUGCCAAAUCAAUUAAUGAACGAGAUCAAAUCAGAAAGUAACAUAAAUUGCGCUGAACGAAUCGAAGAAAAGGAAAAGAGAAAGGAAUAACAACAGAAAAAGAGAAAAGCCAACAUUAAGAAAAAUAAAACUGAAAAGAAAGAACAUAAAGUGAAUAAACUAAAGAAAAAAGGCAAAUUUACCGUAUGAAAGACUGAUACUGACUCAUGGAUGAGCUAAACUCUUGUUCUUUCAUGUGCAGCCAUGUCGUGAUAGUUUUAUAGAAAAAUACACUGGCAUGCCUUCCAUGAUCGUGGAAAAUUUGAAGAAAAAAUAUCUUAGAUUCAUUUAAAAAGGUUUAGUGUCUUCACUA